rnacentral:snRNA from 1 species
AGCUUUGCGCAGUGACAGUGUGGUAGCCAAUAAGGGUUAUCCGAGGUGUGAUUAUUGCUAACUGAAAACUUAAGU